rnacentral:rRNA from 1 species
GUGUCAGCAGCCGCGGUAAGACGAACCGUGCAAACGUUAUUCGGAAUCACUGGGCUUAAAGGGCGCGUAGGCGGGCCGCCAGGUCCGGGGUGAAAGCCUCCAGCUCAACUGGAGAAGUGCCUUGGAUACCGGCGGCCUCGAGGGAGGUAGGGGCGUGCGGAACUUCGGGUGGAGCGGUGAAAUGCGUAGAUAUCCGAAGGAACACCGGUGGCGAAAGCGGCGCGCUGGAUCUCUUCUGACGCUGAGGCGCGAAAGCCAGGGGAGCAAACGGGAUUAGAAACCCGCGUAGUCC